rnacentral:piRNA from 1 species
UGUGAUGAACAUUUGGUGAUUUUAGUCC